AGUGAACGCUGGCGGUAGGCCUAACACAUGCAAGUCGAACGGCAGCACAGUAAGAGCUUGCUCUUACGGGUGGCGAGUGGCGGACGGGUGAGGAAUACAUCGGAAUCUACUUUUUCGUGGGGGAUAACGUAGGGAAACUUACGCUAAUACCGCAUACGACCUACGGCUGAAAGCAGGGGACCUUCGGACCUUGUGCGAUUGAAUGAGCCGAUGUCGGAUUAGCUAGUUGGCGGGGUAAAGGCCCACCAAGGCGACGAUCCGUAGCUGGUCUGAGAGGAUGAUCAGCCACACUGGAACUGAGACACGGUCCAGACUCCUACGGGAGGCAGCAGUGGGGAAUAUUAGACAAUGGGCGCAAGCCUGAUCCAGCCAUACCGCGUGGGUGAAGAAGGCCUUCGGGUUGUAAAGCCCUUUUGUUGGGAAAGAAAAGCAGCAGGUUAAUACCCCGCUGUUCUGACGGUACCCAAAGAAUAAGCACCGGCUAACUUCGUG
rnacentral:rRNA from 1 species